GCUGCCAGCAAGACAUAUACUUGCUGACUUUUACAACCCUGUCUGAAGAUAUUUGAAAUUUUUACCUGGCAUCUCUGGUCCACUGUCAGUGGAAACAGAUUGUUGAAAAAAAUGACCAGGCAUCCACGGAACCAAGAAGUUUCACAGCACAACUGGAUUGGUAAAAAUAAAGUAUGAUGAUUUUAUUUACUAUAGAACCUAGGACGGAACAUAUUUCGUUUACACAACAAUGGGCACUGGAAGAUUAUUCGACAGUGUUUUAAAGUCGUUUGUAGAAUCUAAUCUUCAAGCUGGAUGCUAUAAUUUGCACGUUUUGUAAUACGAUAAUAACUUCAUGCCACAAGCGAAAUCCGAUAAUUAUUUUCUAUUCACGAAUAGAUGGAAUUAAAACGGCAAAUUGCCAAAUGGGACAAUCAGUUACAGAUUCACGUCUAGAGAACACGAACACCGUACAAAGCAAACUCAUUACUUAAUUGACAUAUUCUUUGCUGGAAGUUUGACCUUGUUAGUAAUUCAUGCUCGUCAGUGCUGUAACGACGCUUAACUGGUUCAGAUGACGACGCCUUAAAUUCCUUCUGAUGACAUGCGCGUUCAAAAUGCCCUUUAAUACCACAAUUUCGACAAUUCUGAUCAAUAGCAUAACAUUCGGAUGGCUGAUGUUGCCGGCUCGAACAUCUCCAACAAGGUAUGCGUGGAAUUGUAUUUCUGACAAAGCUUCCGCGGUUCAAAACUCUUCCUCCUCUUGCAGGUUU